GCAGCACGGACUUCGGUCUGGUGGCGAGUGGCGAACGGGUGAGUAAUGUAUCGGAACGUGCCUAGUAGCGGGGGAUAACUACGCGAAAGCGUAGCUAAUACCUUAAACGCUUCCGGGGGAAAGCGGGGACCUUCGGGCCUCACUUGCUCUUAAACAGCCGAUAUCGGGAUUGGUAGUUGGUGGGGUAACGGCUCACCAAGGCGACGAUCCGUAGCUGGUUUGAGAGGACGACCAGCCACUGGGACGGACGGCCCAGACUCCUGCAGGAGGCAGCAGUGGGGAAUUUUGGACAGUGGAAACCUGAUCCAGCCAUCCCGCGUGUGCGAUGAAGGCCUUCGGGUUGUAAACACUUUGGCGGAAAACGGCACAGGAUAAUACCCCGUGCAACUGACGGUACCUGCAGAAUAAGCACCGGCUAACUACGUGCCAACAGCCAUGACCAUACGUAGGGUGCAAGCGUUAAUCCGGAAUUACUGGGCGUAAAAGCGUACGCAGGCGGACGGAAAGAAAAGGUAAUUGAAAUCCCAGAGCAACUUUGGAACUGCAUUUUUAACUACCGAGCUAGAGUGUCAGAGAGUGGAAUUCCGCGUGUAGCAGUGAAAUGCGUAGAUAUGCGGAGGAACACGAUGGCGAAAGGGCAGCCUCCUGGAUAACACUGACGCUGUGCAAGCGUGGGGAGCAAGCAGGUUGAUAUACCUGGUAGUCCACGCCCUGGCGGUAUCAACUAGCUGUUGAGGCCUUCGGAGCCUUGGUGGCCGCAGCUAACGCGUGAAGUUGACCGCCUGAGAAUCCGGUCGCAGAUUAAAACUCAAAGGAAUUGACGGGGACCCGCACAAGCGGUGGAUGUGGAUUAAUUCGGUGUGAAAAACCUUACCUACCCUUGACAUGUCUGGAAUCCCGAAGAGAUUUGGGAGUGCUCGCAAAGAACCAGACACAGGUCUACCCGCCGCUGUCGUCAGCUCGUGUCGUGAGAUGUUGGGUUAAGUCCCGCAACGAGCGCAACCCUUGUCAUUAGUUGCUACGGGCACUCUAAUGAGACUGCCGGUGACAAACCGGAGGAAGGUGGGGAUGACGUCAAGUCCUCAUGGCCCUGGUGGGGCUUGCACGUCAUACAAUGGUCAGGACAGAGGGUCGCCAAGCCGCGAGGGGAGCCAAUCCCAGAAAGCCCGAUCGUAGUCCGGAUCGCAGUCUGCAACUCGACUGCGUGAAGUCGGAAUCGCUAGUAAUCGCGGAUCCAUGUGUCGCGGUGAAUACGUUCCCGGGUCUUGUACACACCGCCCAUCACUGCGCCGGGUGGUUUUACCGGAAAUGGUCCAGCCUAACAAGCGGCAUGGAGGCGAUUACUGAUUCGCGCGACUGGGGUGAAGUCGUAACAAGGUAG
rnacentral:rRNA from 1 species